GGUUGAUAUUUGGGGGAAAACUUGAAAACAAAAGUAAGAGGAAAAUAUCUUUGUAGCAAGUUCUGUGGCCUGUUGGUGAUUUCUUAUGGAUAAAAAUAUCAUACACUCUGUCUACUACGCAUUUAAAGCUAAACCUGGAGUAGAUUGCUAAAACUAUGGCAUCACCUGCAGAGGAAGCCAGACUCUUCACCUCGUCCAGCAGCACUUCCCU
rnacentral:lncRNA from 1 species